rnacentral:rRNA from 1 species
UACGUAGGGGGCUAUCGUUGUCCGGAAUCAUUGGGCGUAAAGAGCGUGUAGGCGGCCCGGUAAGUCCGCUGUGAAAGUCGGGGGCUCAACCCUCGAAUGCCGGUGGAUACUGUCGGGCUAGAGUGCGGAAGAGGCGAGUGGAAUUCCUGGUGUAGCGGUGAAAUGCGCAGAUAUCAGGAGGAACACCGAUUGCGAAGGCAGCUCGCUGGGACGUUACUGACGCUGAGACGCGAAAGCGUGGGGAGCAAACAGG